CGAUUACUGAAGAGUCCCACAAUAGGACGAAACGGCCAUCCAGUGC
rfam:Schistosoma curassoni strain Dakar, Senegal genome assembly, scaffold: SCTD_contig0000842